rnacentral:rRNA from 1 species
GACGAACGCUGGCGGCGUGCCUAAUACAUGCAAGUCGAGCGAAUCUUUUGGGAGCUUGCUCCCUUAAGAUUAGCGGCGGACGGGUGAGUAACACGUGGGUAACCUGCCUGUAAGACUGGGAUAACUUCGGGAAACCGGAGCUAAUACCGGAUACUUUCUUUUCUCGCAUGAGGGAAGAUGGAAAGAUGGUUCUGCUAUCACUUACAGAUGGACCCGCGGCGCAUUAGCUAGUUGGUGAGGUAACGGCUCACCAAGGCAACGAUGCGUAGCCGACCUGAGAGGGUGAUCGGCCACACUGGGACUGAGACACGGCCCAGACUCCUACGGGAGGCAGCAGUAGGGAAUCUUCCGCAAUGGACGAAAGUCUGACGGAGCAACGCCGCGCGAGCGAAGAAGGCCUUCGGGUCGUAAAGCUCUGUUGUUAGGGAAGAACAAGUACGAGAGUAACUGCUCGUACCUUGACGGUACCUAACCAGAAAGCCACGGCUAACUACGUGCCAGCCGCCGCAGUAAGAC